AUUGAACGCUGGCGGCAUGCCUUACACAUGCAAGUCGAACGGUAACAGGUCUUCGGAUGCUGACGAGUGGCGAACGGGUGAGUAAUACAUCGGAACGUGCCCGAUCGUGGAGGAUAACGAGGCGAAAGCUUUGCUAAUACCGCAUACGAUCUACGGAUGAAAGCGGGGGAUCUUCGGACCUCGCGCGGACGGAGCGGCCGGUGGCAGAUUAGGUAGUUGGUGGGAUAAAAGCUUACCAAGCCGACGAUCUGUAGCUGGUCUGAGAGGAUGAUCAGCCACACUGGGACUGAGACACGGCCCAGACUACUACGGGAGUCAGCAGUGGGGAAUUUUGGACAAUGGGCGAAAGCCUGAUCCAGCCAUGCCGCGUGCAGGAUGAAGGCCUUCGGGUUGUAAACUGCUUUUGUACGGAACGAAAAGCCUCUUUCUAAUAAAGAGGGGUCAUGACGGUACCGUAAGAAUAAGCACCGGCUAACUACGUGCCAGCCGCCGCAGUAAGAC
rnacentral:rRNA from 1 species